ensembl:lncRNA
GGAAACUGUGAAAUCACCUUUACUUUAGCUGCAGGUAGUGUUAUUUGUAAUAAUACCUGCCAGGUCUAUGCUGUUUGAAUGUAAUGUUUUGCAUUAACUAUUUCUAAAAUAUCAGUUACCAGAAGUCUCAGUUACCCGUACAGGAGGAAAGUUUAGAUUCAUUUACAGUGAAUCCCUCAAACAGGAGUGAGUCCUAAUCAACCAUAAAAACUGGAGGCUGGAUUUCUUGCUGUGAAAAGAAUCUAAGUACAGACACAAGCAACUUUACCUUUAGAGGGUGUUGAAGUAGAAGACUAUAACCAGACUUCUCUGAAUUCCGAGCUUUUGCAUACUUACAGCUCUGGACAUGACUAUAGCUG